rnacentral:rRNA from 1 species
AAACUUUCAACAACGGAUCUCUUGGUUCUGGCAUCGAUGAAGAACGCAGCGAAAUGCGAUAAGUAAUGUGAAUUGCAGAAUUUAGUGAAUCAUCGAAUCUUUGAACGCACAUUGCGCCCCCUGGUAUUCCGGGGGGCACACCUGUCCGAGCGCCGUUUU